rnacentral:rRNA from 1 species
AGCGGCGGACGGGUGAGUAUGGCAGGGGUAGCCUGCCCUAUACACACGGAUAACAUACCGAAAGGUAUGCUAAUACGAGAUAAUGUAAGAGAUUCGCAUGGAUUUCUUAUCAAAGCUGAGGCGGUAUAGGAUGGACCCGCGUCUGAUUAGCUAGUUGGUAAGGUAACGGCUUACCAAGGCGACGAUCAGUAGCCGACCUGAGAGGGUGAUCGGCCACAUUGGAACUGAGACACGGUCCAAACUCCUACGGGAGGCAGCAGUGGGGAAUAUUGCACAAUGGGCGAAAGCCUGAUGCAGCAACGCCGCGUGAGUGAUGAAGGCCUUCGGGUCGUAAAACUCUGUCCUCAAGGAAGAUAAUGACGGUACUUGAGGAGGAAGCCCCGGCUAACUACGUGCCAGCAGCCGCGGUAAUACGUAGGGGGCUAGCGUUAUCCGGAUUUACUGGGCGUAAAGGGUGCGUAGGUGGUCUCUUAAGUCAGGAGUGAAAGGCUACGGCUUAACCGUAGUAAGCUCUUGAAACUGGGAGACUUGAGUGCAGGAGAGGAAAGUGGAAUUCCUAGUGUAGCGGUGAAAUGCGUAGAUAUUAGGAGGAACACCAGUAGCGAAGGCGGCUUUCUGGACUGUAACUGACACUGAGGCACGAAAGCGUGGGGAGCAAACAGGAUUAGAUACCCUGGUAGUCCACGCCGUAAACGAUGAGUACUAGGUGU